rnacentral:rRNA from 1 species
GACGAACGCUGGCGGCGUGCUUAACACAUGCAAGUCGAACGAAGUGGCGAACGGGUGUGUAAUACUGGGGUAACCUGCCCUCCUUUUUGGGCUAACCCUUGGAAACGGGGCCUAAUACCGGAUACCGGGGGAUGGGCACGCGGCCUAUCAGCUUGUUGGUGGGGUGAUGGACUACCCAGGCGGUGACGGGUAGCCGGCCUGAGAGGGUGACCGGCAACAGAGGGACUGAGAUACGGCCCAGACUAGUACGGGAGGGAGCAGUGUGGGAGAUUGCACAAUGGGUGAAAGCCUGAUGCAGCGACGCCGCGUGGGGGAUGAAGGCUUUCGGGUUGUAAACCUCUUGCGCUAUCGAAGGGGUAGGUGGAGAAGAAGCGCCGGCUAACUACGUGCCAGCAGCCGCGGUAAUUC